rnacentral:rRNA from 1 species
UACGGGGGGGAGCAAGCGUUUGUUCGGAUUUACUGGGCGUAAAGGGCGCGUAGGCGGCCAUCGCAAGUCAAUUGUGAAAUCUCCGGGCUUAACUCGGAAAGGUCAACUGAUACUGCGAGGCUAGAGUGCGGAAGGGGCAACUGGAAUUCUCGGUGUAGCGGUGAAAUGCGUAGAUAUCGAGAGGAACACCUGCGGCGAAGGCGGGUUGCUGGGCCGACACUGACGCUGAGGCGCGAAAGCUAGGGGAGCGAACGGG